UAGGGAAUAUUGCAAAAUGGGCGAAAGCCCGAUGCAGCAACGCCGCGUGGGCGAUGAAGGCCUUCGGGUCGUAAAGCCCUUUUUGAGGGGAUGAGGAAGGACAGUACCCUCAGAAUAAGCCUCGGCUAACUACGUGCCAGCAGCCGCGGUAAAACGUAGGAGGCGAGCGUUAUCCGGAUUUACUGGGCGUAAAGCGCGUGCAGGCGGAUUGGAGAGUUGGAUGUGAAAGCUCCCGGCUUAACUGGGAGAGGUCGUUCAAUACUUCCAGUCUUGAGUGCAGUAGAGGGAAGUGGAAUUCCGGGUGUAGUGGUGAAAUGCGUAGAUAUCAGGAGGAACACCAGUGGCGAAAGCGGCUUCCUGGACUGUAACUGACGCUCAGACGCGAAAGCUAGGGUAGCAAACG
rnacentral:rRNA from 1 species